UACGGAGGAUGCGAGCGUUGUUCGGAAUCACUGGGCUUAAAGCGCAUGUAGGCGGGCCAUCAAGUGGCUUGUGAAAUCCCCCGGCUCAACCGGGGAAUGGCUCGGCAAACUGAUGGUCUUGAGGCAGGUAGAGGUGACCGGAACCUUCGGUGGAGAGGUGAAAUUCGUAGAUAUCGAAGGGAACGCCGGUGGCGAAAGCGGGUCACUGGGCCUGUCCUGACGCUGAGAUGCGAAAGCGUAGGUAGCGAACGGG
rnacentral:rRNA from 1 species